rnacentral:tRNA from 1 species
UGCCUCUGGAGAGACUCGAACUCCCAACUUUCAGCUUAAAAGGCUGACACUCUAACCAUUGAGUUACAGAGGC